UCYGGUUGAUCCUGCCRGACCCGACUGCUAUCAGAGUGGGACUAAGCCAUGCGAGUCAACGUAGAAAUACGUGGCAAACGGCUCAGUAACACGUAGUCAACGUGCCCAGGGGACGUGGAUAACCUCGGGAAACUGAGGAUAAACCGCGAUAGGCCAUGAUUUCUGGAAUGGUUCAUGGCCGAAAUCUAUAUGGCCCCUGGAUUGGACUGCGGCCGAUCAGGCUGUUGGUGAGGUAAUGGCCCACCAAACCUGUAACCGGUACGGGCUCUGAGAGGAGGAGCCCGGAGAUGGGCACUGAGACAAGGGCCCAGGCCCUAUGGGGCGCAGCAGGCGCGAAAUCUCUGCAAUAGGCGAAAGCUUGACAGGGUUACUCUGAGUGAUUCCCGCUAAGGGGAUCUUUUGGCACCUUUAAAAAUGGUGCAGAAUAAGGGGUGGGCAAGUCUGGUGUCAGCCGCCGCGGUAAUACCAGCACCCCGAGUGGUCGGGACGAUUAUUGGGCCUAAAGCAUCCGUAGCCGGUACUGCAAGUCUUCCGUUAAAUCCACCUGCUUAACAGUUGGGCUGCGGGGGAUACUACAGCGCUAGGAGGCGGGAGAGGCAAGCGGUACUCAAUGGGUAGGGGUAAAAUCCACUGAUCCAUUGAAGACCACCAGUGGCGAAGGCGGCUUGCCAGAACGCGCUCGACGGUGAGGGAUGAAAGCUGGGGGAGCAAACCGGAUUAGAUACCCGGGUAGUCCCAGCUGUAAACGAUGCAGACUCGGUGAUGGGUUGGCUUCGCGCCAACCCAGUGCCGCAGGGAAGCCGUUAAGUCUGCCGCCUGGGGAGUACGGUCGCAAGACUGAAACUUAAAGGAAUUGGCGGGGGAGCACCACAAGGGGUGAAGCCUGCGGUUCAAUUGGABUCAACGCCGGR
rnacentral:rRNA from 1 species